GGCGCAUCAGGCAGUGCUCCGUGUCUUCAGCAGCACUUCAGCAUCGGGUCCUUCACUUGCUCUGGUCUUUGGCGGCAUUGCAGGACCCCAGCAGCAUG